rnacentral:lncRNA from 1 species
CAUGGCUGGCCAGAGGAGGAACGCUUUGUGUUCUCAUCGGAGCUGCAUGGGAAGUCUGCAUACAGCAAAGUGACCUGCAUGCCUCACCUUAUGGAAAGGAUGGUGGGCUCUGGCCUCCUGUGGCUGGCCUUGGUCUCCUGCAUUCUGACCCAGGCAUCUGCAGUGCAGCGAGGUAAGUAUUCUGCUCACCUGGCAUCUCAGAUGUCAAGGAAGACCUAGCAAGUGAGGAUAGAAGUGCAGAGAAGGUGGCUCAGGUUAUGGAAACCCCAUUGAAGCCAGUUCGUAUGGGCUGGACCUGGACUGCGGAGCUCCUGGCACCCCAGAGGCUCAUGUCUGUUUUGACCCCUGUCAGAAUUACACCCUCCUGGAUGAACCCUUCCGAAGCACAGAGAACUCAGCAGGGUCCCAGGGGUGCGAUAAAAACAUGAGCGGCUGGUACCGCUUUGUAGGGGAAGGAGGAGUAA